AACGAACGCUGGCGGCAGGCUUAACACGUGCAAGUCGAGCGCCCCGCAAGGGGAGCGGCAGACGGGUGAGUAACGCGUGGGAAUCUACCCAUCUCUACGGAUUAACGCAUGGAAACGUGUGCUAAUACCGUAUACGUCCUUCGGGAGAAAGAUUUAUCGGAGAUGGAUGAGCCCGCGUUGGAUUAGCUAGUUUGUGGGGUAAAGGCCUACCAAGGCGACGAUCCAUAGCUGGUCUGAGAGGAUGAUCAGCCACACUGGAACUGAGACACGGCCCAGACUCCUACGGGAGGCAGCAGUGGGGAAUAUUGGACAAUGGGCGCAAGCCUGAUCCAGCCAUGCCGCGUGAGUGAUGAAGGCCCUAGGGUUGUAAAGCUCUUUCACCGGUGAAGAUAAUGACGGUAACCGGAGAAGAAGCCCCGGCUAACUUCGUGCCAGCCGCCGCCGUAAUAC
rnacentral:rRNA from 1 species